rnacentral:lncRNA from 1 species
UCUCUCUCUCUCUCUCUCUCUCUCUCUCUCUCUCUCUGUGCUUGCCUGCUUCAGGUGUUCGACCGUGCAUCUCACUCCCACAGCUUAUUUUCAUAUGCGUGUCCUCGGAGUUCGUCACUCAUCACCUCUUGUCGAGCCCAUCUCCCUCGUGCAUGCAUGCAUGUAAGCAGAUGAACAGACCUAUGUAUCUUUUCCAGUCAUAGGUACGAGGAACAAGAGAUGUAGAAGAUCAUGCAGCAGCACAGUUGCAGGUACAGAUCUCUAUAUAAUCGUCUUGAGGAUGACACAUCAAGGUGCAGUGUGCCAAAGUGGAAGGUCCACCAUGGUGUUCAUUCUCUCCAUGCGUGCAUUUGCACGGAGGUAUGUUCUUCUCAUGUCAGUUGUUAUCAUUGUAAUACACUUAAAAAGUAUCUGCCGAUAGCUAAAACUUAGAUCUGAAACUUGAUUCUUUUCUUUCUCUCCUCUUAUUUGAUGCAAAAUUGUGGAAAUUUUAGGUCCAUGCAAAGUAUACAUGAAUCUACCUUCCUUAGUUGAAACCCCAAGCCAAAGGAACCUAUCGUAUAACCUAAGAAUACUGUAUUCUGGCUCCUGAUCAGGUCACUAUCUCCUAAUGGAUCUGAAUGACAAGCAUGUGGUCAUGGUUUCAUCAACUGCAGAUCAUAACCUUCACCGACAACUCUUGGAGAAUUAAAAGAGCCUAAUUAAUGGCUUUGCAUUUUGGUCUUCCUGUUUUGCUUGGGAUCAUAGUCUGCAAGAGGCUAUACCACUCCUCGAGAACAUCUAUCAUGUUCAUCUUCUGUUUGUGAUGAUAGAUUAAGCAUUCGAUCAUCAAGCUAUUCCAAACACGUCGAUCAUAAUGUGAUUUAAGAUUGCUUGCAGAUAAUGAAC